rnacentral:rRNA from 1 species
GACGAACGCUGGCGGCGUGCUUAACACAUGCAAGUCGAACGGAAAGGCCCCUUUGGGGGUACUCGAGUGGCGAACGGGUGAGUAACACGUGAGUAACCUGCCCUUGACUUCGGGAUAACUUCAGGAAACUGGGGCUAAUACCGGAUAGGAAUCCUUGCUGCAUGGUGGGGGUUGGAAAGCUUCGGCGGUUUUGGAUGGACUCGCGGCUUAUCUGCUUGUUGGUGGGGUAGUGGCUUACCAAGGCUUUGACGGGUAGCCGGCCUGAGAGGGCGACCGGCCACAUUGGGACUGAGAUACGGCACAGACACCUACGGGAGGCAGCAGGGGGGAAUAUUGCAAAAUGGGCGGAAGCCUGAUGCAGAAACGACGCGGGCGGGAUGACGGCCUUCGGGUUGUAAACCGCUUUCAGCAGGGGAGAAGCUUGUGGUGACGGUACCUGCAGAAGAAGCACCGGCUAACUACGUG